rnacentral:lncRNA from 1 species
GGAAAGAGCAGGCACCAGGGAAGUGACAAGAGGCCGAGGAGAAGGCAGUCGGAGGCAGCUCUGCCAUGAACAGUAGCAUCUAUCCUCCUGGCUACAUGACCAGAAGGCCUGAGAUGGACCGAAGAAUCCCUCAGGUUUCUAGUGAUGGAUGUUAAGUGAACUGGUGGUGUUAUUGUGCAGUCUGUGUGCAUCCAGUCCCUGUGCUGACUUCUUCAACUUACACGGCGCCCACUCAGCCUGCCUCAGCUGCUGGAGCAGCGAAUAGCCGUGCAGAGGCCUUUCCGGCUGUCCCCCGCCUCAGAGAGAACUCACUCCUCCUGGUACUAGCGCUCCUCUCCACAGUCUGACUCGGUGAAGAGCAGGAGGAGGGGACACGAGUUUCACAAUUCUUAACUCAGCGACUGUGCACCGAGCACUCAUCCUGUGCCAGGUGCUCAGAACUCCACGCAGGAGAUCUUUGAAGAGUUAUGUGACGGGUUCGACUUCUCUCCCUCCCUAGUCAAGGGGCAGAAGCAGCAUGCCACUAGCAGCAUCCUGUGCCAGUCUGAGGUGAGAGCAGGAGCAGAAGGUCUUUACCCCCACCCCCCAAGAUGUUCAGGGUGGGCCUGGAACCCUGGUACAAAUCUGAGCACACCC